rnacentral:rRNA from 1 species
UACGUAGGGUGCAAGCGUUGUCCGGAAUUAUUGGGCGUAAAGAGCUCGUAGGCGGUUUGUCGCGUCUGCUGUGAAAUCUGGAGGCUCAACCCCCAGCCUGCAGUGGGUACGGGCAGACUAGAGUGCGGUAGGGGAGAUUGGAAUUCCUGGUGUAGCGGUGGAAUGCGCAGAUAUCAGGAGGAACACCGAUGGCGAAGGCAGAUCUCUGGGCCGUAACUGACGCUGAGGAGCGGAAGCAUGGGGAGCGAACAGG